rnacentral:rRNA from 1 species
UACGUAGGGUGCGAGCGUUAAUCGGAAUUACUGGGCGUAAAGCGUGCGCAGGCGGUGAUGUAAGACAGAUGUGAAAUCCCCGGGCUCAACCUGGGAACUGCAUUUGUGACUGCAUCGCUGGAGUACGGCAGAGGGGGAUGGAAUUCCGCGUGUAGCAGUGAAAUGCGUAGAUAUGCGGAGGAACACCGAUGGCGAAGGCAAUCCCCUGGGCCGGUACUGACGCUGAGGCGCGAAAGCGUGGGGAGCAAACAGG